rnacentral:rRNA from 1 species
GAUGAACGCUAGCUACAGGCUUAACACAUGCAAGUCGAGGGACCGGCGCACGGGUGAGUAACACGUAUCCAACCUGCCCUUUACUCGGGGAUAGCCUUUCGAAAGAAAGAUUAAUACCCGAUGUAAAGGAUGGGGAUGCGUUCCAUUAGGUUGUUGGUGAGGGAACGGCUCACCAAGCCGUCGAUGGAUAGGGGUUCGGAGAGGAAGGUCCACCACAUUGGAACUGAGACACGGACCAAACUCCUACGGGAGGCAGCAGUGAGGAAUAGUGGUCAAUGGGCGUUAGCCUGAACCUGCCAAGUAGCGUGAAGGAUGAAGGCUUAUGGGGCGUAAACUUCUUGUAUAUAAGAAGAUGUAUUAUAUGAAUAAGGAUCGGCUAACUCCGUGCCAGCAGCCGCGGUAAUUC